rnacentral:rRNA from 1 species
GUAGGGGGCAAGCGUUGUCCGGAAUUAUUGGGCGUAAAGCGCACGCAGGCGGCCUAUUAAGUCAGAUGUGAAAUACCUCGGCUCAACCGAGGAACUGCAUUUGAAACUGGCAGGCUAGAGUACAGGAGAGGGAAGUGGAAUUCCUAGUGUAGCGGUGAAAUGCGCAGAUAUUAGGAAGAACACCGGUGGCGAAGGCGGCUUCCUGGACUGUUACUGACGCUGAGGUGCGAAAGCUAGGGGAGCAAACAGGAUUAGAUACCCUGGUAGUCCUAGCCGUAAACGAUGGGCACUAGGUGUAGGGGGUUAUCAACGCCCUCUGUGCCGGAGCUAACGCAUUAAGUGCCCCCGCCUGGGGAGUACGGCCGCAAGGCUAA